rnacentral:rRNA from 1 species
AGUGAACGCUGGCGGCGUGCCUAAUACAUGCAAGUCGAACGAUGAAGUCCUAGCUUGCUAGGAUGGAUUAGUGGCGCACGGGUGAGUAAUAUAUAGUUAAUCUGCCCUACACAGAGGAACAACAGUUGGAAACGACUGCUAAUACCUCAUACUCCUAUUUGACAUAAGUUAAAUAGGGAAAGUCUUUUCGGUGUAGGAUGAGACUAUAUCGUAUCAGCUAGUUGGUAAGGUGAUGGCUUACCAAGGCUAUGACGCGUAACUGGUCUGAGAGGAUGAUCAGUCAAAUUGGAACGGAGACACGGUCCAAACUCCUACGGGAGGCAGCAGUAAGGAAUAUUGCGCAAUGGGGGAAACCCUGACGCAGCAACGCCGCGUGGAGGAUGACACUUUUCGGAGCGUAAACUCCUUUUAUCAGGAAAGAAUAAUGACGGUACCUGAUGAAUAAGCACCGGCUAACUCCGUG